rnacentral:rRNA from 1 species
GACGAACGCUGGCGGCGUGCUUAACACAUGCAAGUCGAACGGAAAGGCCCUGCUUUUGUGGGGUGCUCGAGUGGCGAACGGGUGAGUAACACGUGAGUAACCUGCCCUUUACUUUGGGAUAACUUCAGGAAACUGGGGCUAAUACCGGAUAGGAGCUCCUGCUGCAUGGUGGGGGUUGGAAAGUUUCGGCGGUUGGGGAUGGACUCGCGGCUUAUCAGCUUGUUGGUGGGGUAGUGGCUUACCAAGGCUUUGACGGGUAGCCGGCCUGAGAGGGUGACCGGCCACAUUGGGACUGAGAUACGGCCCAGAAUCCUACGGGAGGCAGGAGUGGGGAAUAUUGCACAAUGGGCGGAAGCCUGAGGCAGCAACGCCGCGUGCGGGAUGACGGCCUUCGGGUUGUAAACCGCUUUCGCCUGUGACGAAGCGGGAGUGACGGUAAUGGGUAAAGAAGCACCGGCUAACUACGUG